UAGCUAGUUGGUGAGGUAAAGGCUUACCAAGGCGACGAUCUGUAGCGGGUCUGAGAGGAUGAUCCGCCACACUGGAACUGAGACACGGUCCAGACUCCUACGGGAGGCAGCAGUGGGGAAUUUUGGACAAUGGGGGCAACCCUGAUCCAGCCAUGCCGCGUGAGUGAAGAAGGCCUUCGGGUUGUAAAGCUCUUUCGGCCGGGAAGAAAUCGCAUGGGCCAAUACCCUGUGUGGAUGACGGUACCGGAAUAAGAAGCACCGGCUAACUACGUGCCAGCAGCCGCGGUAAUACGUAGGGUGCGAGCGUUAAUCGGAAUUACUGGGCGUAAAGCGUGCGCAGGCGGUUUUGUAAGACAGGCGUGAAAUCCCCGGGCUUAACCUGGGAACUGCGUUUGUGACUGCAAGGCUAGAGUACGGCAGAGGGGGGUGGAAUUCCACGUGUAGCAGUGAAAUGCGUAGAGAUGUGGAGGAACACCAAUGGCGAAGGCAGCCCCCUGGGUCGAUACUGACGCUCAUGCACGAAAGCGUGGGUAGCAAACAGGAUUAGAUACCCUGGUAGUCCACGCCCUAAACUAUGUCAACUAGGUGUUGGGUGGGUAAAACCAUUUAGUACCGUAGCUAACGCGUGAAGUUGACCGCCUGGGGAGUACGGCCGCAAGGUUAAAACUCAAAGGAAUUGACGGGGACCCGCACAAGCGGUGGAUGAUGUGGAUUAAUUCGAUGCAACGCGAAAAACCUUACCUACCCUUGACAUGCCAGGAACUUGCCAGAGAUGGCUUGGUGCCCGAAAGGGAGCCUGGACACAGGUGCUGCAUGGCUGUCGUCAGCUCGUGUCGUGAGAUGUUGGGUUAAGUCCCGCAACGAGCGCAACCCUUGUCGUUAAUUGCCAUCAUUUAGUUGGGCACUUUAACGAGACUGCCGGUGACAAACCGGAGGAAGGUGGGGAUGACGUCAAGUCCUCAUGGCCCUUAUGGGUAGGGCUUCACACGUCAUACAAUGGUCGGUACAAAGGGUUGCCAAGCCGCGAGGCGGAGCCAAUCCCAGAAAGCCGAUCGUAGUCCGGAUUGCAGGCUGCAACUCGCCUGCAUGAAGUCGGAAUCGCUAGUAAUCGUGGAUCAGCAUGUCACGGUGAAUACGUUCCCGGGUCUUGUACACACCGCCCGUCACACCAUGGGAGCGGGUUCCGCUAGAAGUAGGUAGCCUAACCGCAAGGGGGGCGCUUACCACGGCGGGGUUCGUGACUGGGGUGAAGUCGGAACAAGGUAGCCGUAGGGGAACCUGCGGCUG
rnacentral:rRNA from 1 species